GUCGCUGUUUGUUUGCUUUAUUUAUUUAAAGUGUAUAAAAUACUUUUCCAUCUGCUACAUAAAACAUACCAAACAUCUCACUGCAUUGUAGUAAGCAAGAAAAUUCAUAGAUGCUAAGCCUACAGCAAGAAUUUUUCAAAGGCUAAAUUUCUAUGGAGAAAGGUUGUAACAAUUAUUUUAUAACAGUCUGUCAAAAAGCAAUUCAUUGCCUGGAAACAACAAUGCCCAAUAUGGUCAACUGGAAUGCUGAACUCUGAUUAGUUAUUACAAUGAUCGUUACAAUAGGAAAUAAAUUGAUACUUUCUUCAAUGCUAC